AGAUUAUCACGAUGACUUGCAAACAACUCAUUGUACUUUGGUAUCGGACUACUUGAAUUUUUAAUUUAUUGAUGGAAGAUUUUUAAGUAUAGUCAAAUACUUGUGAAAUAGAUGUGUGAGUCAAGAUGGGAUUGAUUACUUCUGAUUUUAAGAGUUAGUGCUAUAUUGUAUUUCAAUUCAGCAAAACUUAGGCCUCGAUAGUUUUUGUGAGGAGUCAUAGGAUUUAUGAAAUUAAGACACAUUAUAGAUGUAUUGAUUAAGAGUUAAUAGUUUAACUCUGAAGUCAUCCUAGACACUCAGGGUCAAAGAGAUGAAU
rnacentral:lncRNA from 1 species